UUGGCCAUGGUGUAUCAGUCAGCAUUUCACCCUGUGAAGGUGACGGAACGGGUGCGAAUCCCGUUGGCCAACCCA
rnacentral:tRNA from 3 species